rnacentral:rRNA from 1 species
UGCUUCUAGAAAUUUAUUAUUAGAAGUUCAUCCUGCCCAGUGAUUUUAUUUUUCAACGGCCGCGGUAUCCUGACCGUGCAAAGGUAGCAUAAUCAUUUGCCUUUUAAUUGAAGGCUUGUAUGAAUGGAUAAACGAAACUAAAGCUGUCUCAUUAAAACAUAUAUAAAUUAGCCUUUAGGUGAAGAUUCCUAAAUUUAUCUAAAAGACAAGAAGACCCCAUAGAGUUUUAGCUUAAUAACUUUUCUUUACUUUAUUAACCUUUGGUUGGGGCGACCAAGGAUUAAAUAAAACAUCCUUAACAAAAUAGAUUUAUUAAUCUCUUUUAAGACCCUAUUUUAUUGAUCUUCAGAAAAAACUACCUUGGGGAUAACAGGCUUAUCUUCCYAGAGAGCUCAUAUUGAUAGGAAGGUUUGGCACCUCGAUGUUGGCUUAGAGUAACCAGAAAAUGCAGAAGUUUUCUUGUGUUAGUUUGUUCAACUAUUAAAACUCU